rnacentral:rRNA from 1 species
CUGCAGUCGAACGGUAGCAGGAAGUGCUUGCACUUUGCUGACGAGUGGCGGACGGGUGAGUAAUGCUUGGGAACUUGCCUUUGCGAGGGGGAUAACAGUUGGAAACGACUGCUAAUACCGCAUAAUGUCUACGGACCAAACGGGGCUUAGGCUUCGGCGCAGAGAGAGGCCCAAGUGAGAUUAGCUAGUUGGUGGGGUAAAGGCUCACCAAGGCGACGAUCUCUAGCUGUUCUGAGAGGAAGAUCAGCCACACUGGGACUGAGACACGGCCCAGACUCCUACGGGAGGCAGCAGUGGGGAAUAUUGCACAAUGGGGGGAACCCUGAUGCAGCCAUGCCGCGUGUGUGAAGAAGGCCUUCGGGUUGUAAAGCACUUUCAGUUGUGAGGAAAAGUGAGUAGUUAAUACCUGCUCACCGUGACGUUAACAACAGAAGAAGCACCGGCUAACUCCGUGCCAGCAGCCGCGGUAAUACGGAGGGUGCGAGCGUUAAUCGGAAUUACUGGGCGUAAAGCGCACGCAGGCGGUUUGUUAAGCUAGAUGUGAAAGCCCCGAGCUCAACUUGGGAUGGUCAUUUAGAACUGGCAGACUAGAGUCUUGGAGAGGGGAGUGGAAUUCCAGGUGUAGCGGUGAAAUGCGUAGAUAUCUGGAGGAACAUCAGUGGCGAAGGCGACUCCCUGGCCAAAGACUGACGCUCAUGUGCGAAAGUGUGGGUAGCGAACAGGAUUAGAUACCCUGGUAGUCCACACCGUAAACGCUGUCUACUAGCUGUUUGUGGCUUUAAGCCGUGAGUAGCGAAGCUAACGCGAUAAGUAGACCGCCUGGGGAGUACGGCCGCAAGGUUAAAACUCAAAUGAAUUGACGGGGGCCCGCACAAGCGGUGGAGCAUGUGGUUUAAUUCGAUGCAACGCGAAGAACCUUACCUACACUUGACAUGCAGAGAACUUUCCAGAGAUGGAUUGGUGCCUUCGGGAACUC